ACGAUCACAUUACAUUGAAACACCGGUUCUCGUACGAUCAUUGAAGUUAAGCAACGUCGGGCCUGGCUUGUAUCUUGAUGGGUGACCGCAUGUGGAUAGUAGGUGCUGUAA